CAACCCUGAUCCAGCCAUGCCGCGUGCAGGAAGACUGCCCUAUGGGUUGUAAACUGCUUUUAUACAGGAAGAAACCUACUUACGUGUAAGUAGCUGACGGUACUGUAAGAAUAAGGAUCGGCUAACUCCGUGCCAGCAGCCGCGGUAAUACGGAGGAUCCAAGCGUUAUCCGGAAUCAUUGGGUUUAAAGGGUCCGUAGGUGGUUAAUUAAGUCAGAGGUGAAAGCCAGCAGCUCAACUGUUGAACUGCCUUUGAUACUGAUUAACUUGAGUUAUUGUGAAGUAGUUAGAAUAUGUAGUGUAGCGGUGANNUGCAUAGAUAUUACAUAGAAUACCGAUUGCGAAGGCAGAUUACUAACAAUACACUGACACUGANGGACGAAAGCGUGGGUAGCGAACAGGAUUAGAUACCCNGGUAGUCCACGCCGNAAACNAUGGUCACUAGCUGNNCNAUCAANNUUGGUUGGUUGAGUGGCUAANCNAAAGUGAUAAGUGACCCACCUGGGGNNUACGCUCGCAAGANUGAAACUCAAA
rnacentral:rRNA from 1 species